rnacentral:rRNA from 1 species
UACGAAGGGGGCUAGCGUUGCUCGGAAUUACUGGGCGUAAAGGGCGCGUAGGCGGAUCGUUAAGUCAGAGGUGAAAGCCCAGGGCUCAACCCUGGAAUUGCCUUUGAUACUGGCGAUCUUGAGUACGGGAGAGGUGUGUGGAACUCCGAGUGUAGAGGUGAAAUUCGUAGAUAUUCGGAAGAACACCAGUGGCGAAGGCGACACACUGGCCCGUUACUGACGCUGAGGCGCGAAAGCGUGGGGAGCAAACAGG